ensembl:lncRNA
UGAUUGAAUAGUUUUCUUAUCAGAUAGAGAAAUAAAAUGAGUCGCAAAGUCUAAAAGCAACAUUUCUCUGCCUGGGCUGCCUCGUACCUCUGCACGUCAGUCUGUUUCAAUGUGUGACCCCCCACCCGAGCAGUCGUGGGUGAGUGCACUAACGUGCCCGGAGGUUGCCGUUUUAAUGAGUGUUUGCUGGAAAACGAAAAAUACAAGAAGGAGUCUUCAAGAAGGAUUUGUACGUUUUCACAACGGGGGAAUUUGCUAAACUUUGACCACUUCCAGAUACUGCGGGCCAUCGGGAAAGGGAGCUUUGGAAAGCCACCCUUCACUGACACCAUGAGAUGAGGCUUUGGUGAACACUAGAUGGAUCAACUGAAGGACCAGGUGCAUCUUUCAGGUCCUGUGUCAGGUGUUUGCUGAAUUUUUUUUUUGACAUGACUUUCAGGUACUGUUCCUCCACUGUAGAUAGAUUUUUCCGCCUGUCCCCUUUUUUUCUGUCUCCUACUUUUCCAGUCUAAAAAAAUCGGAGGAAAUUGUGUGUUUUUGUGACAGGUUGCUAGUACAGGGCUCUAGACUAACUUUUUGCCAUGGUUGCACUGGUGCG